rnacentral:tRNA from 1 species
GGGGUUGUAGCUCAAUGGUAGAGUGCUUGCCUUGCAUGCAUGAGGGCCUGAGUUCAAUCCUCAGCACUACA